CUACGGACUGAAAAUCCGUUGGCUUUUUAGACCGUGAGGGUUCAAGUCCCUCUACCCCCA
rnacentral:tRNA from 1 species